GGAUGUUCUCAGGGCGGGGUGCAAUUCCCCACCGGCGGUCACAGCCCGCGAGCGCCCGUCGGCAACGAUGGGGUCAGCAGAUCCGGUGAAACUCCGGGGCCGACAGUUACAGUCUGGAUGAAAGAGAACCGUG
rnacentral:ncRNA from 1 species